UACAGAGGUCCCGAGCGUUGUUCGGAUUCACUGGGCGUAAAGGGUGCGUAGGUGGCAUGGAAAGUUUGAUGUGAAAGCUCAGGGCUUAACCCUGAAAUGGCAUUGAAUACUGCCGUGCUGGAGGUUUGGAGGGGGGACUGGAAUUCUUGGUGUAGCAGUGAAAUGCGUAGAUAUCAAGAGGAACACCUGUGGCGAAAGCGGCGCACUGGACCAUAACUGACGCUGAGGCGCGAAAGCUAGGGGAGCAAACAGG
rnacentral:rRNA from 1 species